rnacentral:rRNA from 1 species
UACGUAGGUGACCAGCGUUGUCCGGAUUUACUGGGCGUAAGGAGCUCGUAGGCGGUUUGUCGCGUCUGCUGUGAAAACUCGGGGCUUAACUCCGGGCCUGCAGUGGGUACGGGCAGACUAGAGUGCGGUAGGGGAGACUGGAAUUCCUGGUGUAGCGGUGAAAUGCGCAGAUAUCAGGAGGAACACCGGUGGCGAAGGCGGGUCUCUGGGCCGUAACUGACGCUGAGGAGCGAAAGCGUGGGGAGCGAACAGG